rnacentral:lncRNA from 1 species
CACAUUGGAGUCCUCAUCAAAUGCUCCAAUGGGGUAACAUAUCAUAUUUUAAGCUUGGAUUACAUAAGCAUCAUUAAACAUUUCGUUAAAAGAUCAUGUACCAAAAAGGGAUUAACAUACACUAGGGCCAAGCACCAUUCUAAACCUCAAUAUACAUCAUUGCAUUACAUUACUGUACUAUACGUUACAUUACAAUAUUUUUCAUGUCCACAUCUAGCUAUUACAUAAAACAUGACUUUACUUUGGCUGACCUCCUGGUCUAUUCCGUACCUGCAAACCUGGGGUUAAGGGAAUGGGGUGAGCUACUAGAGCCCAGUGAGCAGAAUAAUAAAACAUUUUAUUUAAAACAUAUGAUCUCAUGAAAUGCAUCACAUCACAAACAAAUCACAAUCAAGGAUGAACUUGUCACCAAUAGCCCUCUACACAUUCCAAUGGUGCCAGGGGCGUAGAAUGGGCCUCACUGGUCUUUCUCUUAACAUAACAUAACAUAACAUAACAUUCCAAUAUGCCAGGGGUGUAGAAUGGGCCUCACUGGUCUUACAUACCGUAUCAUUGUCAUCGUAUCAUAUCAUAGUGAGGGCUAAAGGAUCAUCCAACAUUCAUCCACAUCAACAACAUAACAUGCAAUACAACAUAUUCGUGAAUUCUAAUGCAAGCACCCUAAUAUAUCUCAUGGCAUUCAUGAUGCGUGAAUCAUGCUAAAACUUUCAUUAUUUACUUUGAAACAUAAAGAGUCAUUCUACUCACCUCAGGCUAGCUUUGAAAAGACACGGGAGCAGCUAUCUCACUGCUGGGGUCCUCGGUUCCUCGGG